CAGUCGGACGAUGAUGCCCCUUCGGGGGUGGAUUAGUGGCGAACGGGUGAGUAACACGUGAGCAACCUGCCCUUGACUCUGGGAUAAGCCUGGGAAGCUGGGUCUAAUACCGGAUAGUACUCCCUGCCGCAUGGUGGGGGGUGGAAAGCCUUGUGCGGUCUUGGAUGGGCUCGCGGCCUAUCAGCUUGUUGGUGGGGUGAUGGCCUACCAAGGCGACGACGGGUAGCCGGCCUGAGAGGGUGACCGGCCACACUGGGACUGAGACACGGCCCAGACUCCUACGGGAGGCAGCAGUGGGGAAUAUUGCACAAUGGGCGGAAGCCUGAUGCAGCGACGCCGCGUGGGGGAUGACGGCCUUCGGGUUGUAAACCCCUUUCGGCAGGGAACAAGUCCUUCGGGGUGAGGGUACCUGCGGAAGAAGCGCCGGCUAACUACGUGCCAGCAGCCGCGGUAAUACGUAGGGCGCGAGCGUUAUCCGGAAUUAUUGGGCGUAAAGAGCUCGUAGGCGGUUUGUCGCGUCUGCUGUGAAAGCCCGGGGCUCAACCCCGGGUCUGCAGUGGGUACGGGCAGGCUGGAGUGCAGUAGGGGAGACUGGAAUUCCUGGUGUAGCGGUGAAAUGCGCAGAUAUCAGGAGGAACACCGAUGGCGAAGGCAGGUCUCUGGGCUGUAACUGACGCUGAGGAGCGAAAGCAUGGGGAGCGAACAGGAUUAGAUACCCUGGUAGUCCAUGCCGUAAACGUUGGGCACUAGGUGUGGGGGCCAUUCCACGGUUUCCGCGCCGCAGCUAACGCAUUAAGUGCCCCGCCUGGGGAGUACGGCCGCAAGGCUAAAACUCAAAGGAAUUGACGGGGGCCCGCACAAGCGGCGGAGCAUGCGGAUUAAUUCGAUGCAACGCGAAGAACCUUACCAAGGCUUGACAUGUGCCGGACCGUCCCAGAGAUGGGGCUUCCCUUCGGGGCCGGUUCACAGGUGGUGCAUGGUUGUCGUCAGCUCGUGUCGUGAGAUGUUGGGUUAAGUCCCGCAACGAGCGCAACCCUCGUUCCAUGUUGCCAGCACUUGAAGGUGGGGACUCAUGGGAGACUGCCGGGGUCAACUCGGAGGAAGGUGGGGACGACGUCAAAUCAUCAUGCCCCUUAUGUCUUGGGCUUCACGCAUGCUACAAUGGCCGGUACAAAGGGUUGCGAUACUGUGAGGUGGAGCCAAUCCCAGAAAGCCGGUCUCAGUUCGGAUUGGGGUCUGCAACUCGACCCCAUGAAGUCGGAGUCGCUAGUAAUCGCAGAUCAGCAACGCUGCGGUGAAUACGUUCCCGGGCCUUGUACACACCGCCCGUCAAGUCACGAAAGUCGGUAACACCCGAAGCCGGUGGCCCAACCCCUCUGUGGGAGGGAGCCGUCGAAGGUGGGACUGGCGAU
rnacentral:rRNA from 1 species